rnacentral:rRNA from 1 species
UACGAAGGGUGCAAGCGUUACUCGGAAUUACUGGGCGUAAAGCGUGCGUAGGUGGUGAGUUAAGUCUGUCGUGAAAGCCCCGGGCUCAACCUGGGAAUGGCGAUGGAAACUGGCUCGCUAGAGUGCGGUAGAGGAGAGUGGAAUUCCCGGUGUAGCAGUGAAAUGCGUAGAGAUCGGGAGGAACAUCAGUUGCGAAGGCGGCUCACUGGACCGGAACUGACGCUGAGGCGCGAAAGCGUGGGGAGCAAACAGG